GACGAACGCUGGCGGCGUGCUUAACACAUGCAAGUCGAACGGAAAGGCCCUGCUUUUGUGGGGUGCUCGAGUGGCGAACGGGUGAGUAACACGUGAGUAACCUGCCCUUGACUUUGGGAUAACUUCAGGAAACUGGGGCUAAUACCGGAUAGGAGCUCCUGCUGCAUGGUGGGGGUUGGAAAGUUUCGGCGGUUGGGGAUGGACUCGCGGCUUAUCAGCUUGUUGGUGGGGUAGUGGCUUACCAAGGCUUUGACGGGUAGCCGGCCUGAGAGGGUGACCGGCCACAUUGGGACUAAGGUACGGCCCAGACUCCUACGGGGGGCAGCAGUGGGGAGUAUUGCACAAUGGGCGGAAGCCUGAUGCAGCAACGCCGCGUGCGGGAUGAAGGCCUUCGGGUUGUAAACCGCUUUCGCCUGUGACGAAGCGUGAGUGACGGUAAUGGGUAAAGAAGCACCGGCUAACUACGUG
rnacentral:rRNA from 1 species